UGCUAGAUUUUUCAGUAUACUAAAACUGGAAUGAUACAGAGAAAAUCAAACAUGGUUCCNGCCCAAAGAUGGCAAAAAUCUGAAGCAUUCCAUAUUUUU
rnacentral:snRNA from 1 species